AAACGAAGGAGAACAGAAGAUGUGAACACACAGAAGACGCUCAGACUGGAUGCGUGAGAUCCUGCAAUAUUGGCGAUCAGCACUGGAAGAAGAUUUUUGGGGGGAGAGCAGGCACCCAACAGAGACAAAUCCACCACGGCAUGAUUAUCAACUUCAUUAUUGACAAAGAAAGGAGAACAUGUCACCAUCAUGAGCCCUUUAUUUAGUUCACGGAAGAACAUCAAGGGAAAGACCCUCAGACGUGUCAUAACAGGAUAAAUGUGGCUACAGGACGCAUCACCCCACCCCAUCCCAGAUUGACCAAGGAUCCAGAUGAGUACUGGCAAUUUGGUGGAGGAUUGCUCUUUAUCUACUACAUUGUACUGCCACUUCCGAGGCUCUUAAGAAGACAACACAGAUCAACUGGCAAGGAAC